CAACUGUAAAUGAUCCAAAUCCUGAAGGCCAUGAAACCAUAGCAAGACUUUUUGGAAGCAAACAUGACAGCAAGUUCCCCAGUCUUUGUUCUGGAGCCAAGAAUAGUAAUUUGACAUUGACGGUGCAAAAUCGUCCUCUGCCACUUCUGACAGUCGGGGUAAAGGGAUUUUUGGCCUAAGGGGGGCAGAAGAAAGAAGAGGACAUGUUAUAUAUUCAUCAUUUGGC
rnacentral:lncRNA from 1 species